AUUGUAUCAAUGAUGAGUAAAUUCCUUGUUAUCCUUGCACAUUGAUUCAUAAUGAUGAAAAUUAAUGGGGGAAUUUUAAUCUGAGAUGCUC